rnacentral:ncRNA from 2 species
CGAGAGAGUAGAAGCGUUCAGCAGCGCACGCACCACCCUUGUGCGCUCGCCCGGAAAUUGCUCUUGAA